rnacentral:rRNA from 1 species
UACGUAGGGUGCGAGCGUUGUCCGGAUUUAUUGGGCGUAAAGGGCUCGUAGGCGGCGUGUCGCGUCGGGUGUGAAAGACCGGGGCUUAACCCCGGUUCUGCUUCCGGUACGGGCAUGCUGGAGUGUGGCAGGGGAGACUGGAAUUCCUGGUGUAGCGGUGGAGUGCGCAGAUAUCAGGAGGAACACCGGUGGCGAAGGCGGGUCUCUGGGCCAUUACUGACGCUGAGGAGCGAAAGCGUGGGGAGCGAACAGG